rnacentral:lncRNA from 1 species
GUCUACUCAGGGAAGGAUUACCCAAGUGAGAGGAAGUUGAUGUCGACUUGGCCAGGGCACGUUAUUUGACUUUAUUCAUGUAUAAAUACGCUGACGAGUAGGAAUGCAGCAACAUAUUAAUUCGCUAUCGCGAGUUGUCAACUUGAAUCACAACAGCGAGUACGCCACGGUUACUUGUACCCAAAAAUAACCAUCAUAAAACAAUCUGCCUGCAACAGAGAAAAUUUACUGUAUUUAUUUGUAAACAUUAAUCUCAAAGAUGUGUCAGGUUAUAAAACAGACUACAAUGCUAUUCAUGGUUGUGCUGUUGUUAAUGAGCCUAUUAGCAAACACCGAAUCAGCGCCAGCAUCUCGACGUAACAAAAACCGAUGGAAACUAUACCGCAAGUUAAACCAACCGUCUACUGGCAAUUUUCGUGGAUCAUCAUGUGCCACCGAUAAAAGCCGUCGAGCGUGCUCAGUUAACCCGAGCAGUUGGGUGUCUGGAUUGGCCGAAUGUUGUCCCGGAUACAAGUGCGUAGUUACCGCGAUAUCAGUCCCAGGUUUAACUCAUUUCAGGCCACAAUGCAGGCCCAUAUGAACAGCUCCCAGCAGGGCAGACCCAGAAAAAACAUAUUUCACGGCGGGGAUGUCUGGACAUCCAAACUAUUAAAUUUGGCCUGAGUGAAAGUGUAAACGAUGGCAUCCCGUAUCUACUUGAUUAGCCCGAUCAUGAAUUCACAAUUGGAUGAUAUUAUAGAAUCUGAUUUACAAAUAUUUUUGUAUUUUCGAUGCCCGAUUAUCCAAAAAUAGAUAAAUUCCGAAGCAGCAAUGUGAACAAAGCAUAUAUUAUGUUAGUUAAGACUCAGACAAGACGGCUUCACACCAAGGAGGUAGUAAAAUACAUCCUUCCUCACAUCAAGUUGUUCCUGCUACAACAGAAAUUCGCUUAAAUUUGAAGAGGUUUGUAUCAUGAGGUACAUUCUUAUACCAUAGUUAACAAACCACCCGACAGGGGAAUAUGCGGAGGCUUUCAAGACAUUUCGAGGAAAAAAACUAUAAAAAUAUAUUUGUGUAUGCUCCUAUAUGUACAAAAUGUAGACAUAUGAACUCAUUUAAAUAAUUCAUUUAGAUCUAUAUAUCUAAGUAGGAAAUUAGGUUAAUACACAGGUUGAUAAGAGGCUAUUUGAAACACGAACAAUUAUUUAAUUAUUAUAUAAAUUUGUAUCCGUUAUAAGCCGAUGUUGUUCGUCCAUUGACAAGGCCAAGCAUAGUUAUUAUUUCUCUAAUUGCUCCAUGAUGCAAGUUUAUUGGAUUGUGUGUUAUUAAAUGUGUUUUUUUGUAUAACUAUUAAGGAAAGAUUAUUUGUGAAAACGGUAAUUACAACUCUGAAACUGAAUAGGAUUUACACCAACGUAAGUUUGUAAUCGAAAUAGUGUUAUAGAAAUGUAUAUAGAUAUAUAGGCACAGGUGUAUUUGAACAUAUGAAAGUAAAGCUUUGUUCGGUUCCGUCUGUCGUUCUGGCUCCGAUUGCAUUUGCGUUUACAGUGCAUUUGAAGUGCGUGCACGUGCGUUUUUAAAAUCCUUUUUGCAUGGAUUCACACCACACCGCACGGCGGGCUGAAGUCAGAACGGAUAACGGAACAAGUGCAUGCAUUUACGGAGACGCAACGCAACUACAGCACUAAUGAAAUCACUCUCGUUUAAGACAGUUAUAUCGAUUAAAACGUACCACCGCAAAGCAAACGGAGCUGCAAUCGCAACCGGACGGAUGGAUUCCUAGCUUUAAGUCGUGUACAACAUAAAUGGCAAUCUGGUUUUCCAUUAACAUAUUCAACAUCAUAUUGAUAUUAAACUAAACAGCCUGACAAAUCAAAUAAAUUCUGUAAUUGGCUACCUCAUUUAUAUUUAGAUGCGCACGCUGGUCGCUUGGAAGUAAGCGCCUAAAUGUUGUUACAUGAAUUAAAUUAUAAACCGCUUGAUCAUCACGAAAUUAAAUGAUUCGAAUGAUACCUUUAAAAGACAAACAUUAGCACGACUUAGGUAGCAGCUGGAACUGCGCGCAUUCAUCGUGGCAAUGAUGGAUAUAAAUUGGCCUACAGUUACGUGAUAUGUUAUAAAAUAUGUAUAUUAAACUGUGGUUAUAUGCAGAAGUUUAAUUUAAUCGAAGUUAGUAGGGUAAAUAUUAUUCCUGUACAUUACAUUUGAAAAGAGUUUUUAAAUUAAAUUAUUCAGUGAAAUUA